UCAUCCUUGAAGGUGACG
rnacentral:snRNA from 1 species